AGCGAACGCUGGCGGCAGGCCUAACACAUGCAAGUCGAACGAAGUCUUCGGACUUAGUGGCGGACGGGUGAGUAACACGUGGGAACGUGCCUUUAGGUUCGGAAUAACUCAGGGAAACUUGUGCUAAUACCGAAUGUGCCCUUCGGGGGAAAGAUUCAUCGCCUUUAGAGCGGCCCGCGUCUGAUUAGCUAGUUGGUGAGGUAAAGGCUCACCAAGGCUACGAUCAGUAGCUGGUCUGAGAGGAUGACCAGCCACAUUGGGAUUGAGACACGGCCCAAACUCCUACGGGAGGCAGCAGUGGGGAAUCUUGCGCAAUGGGCGAAAGCCUGACGCAGCCAUGCCGCGUGGAUGAUGAAGGUCUUAGGAUUGUAAAAUCCUUUCACCGGUGAAGAUAAUGACUGUAGCCGGAGAAGAAGCCCCGGCUAACUUCGUGCCAGCAGCCGCCGUAAUAC
rnacentral:rRNA from 1 species